rnacentral:sRNA from 1 species
UACAACAAAGGAGAGGUGAACAUUGGGA